rnacentral:rRNA from 1 species
UACGGAGGAUGCAAGCGUUAUCCGGAAUUAUUGGGCGUAAAGCGUCCGCAGGUGGUUUUUCAAGUCUGCUGUUAAAGCGCAGGGCUUAACUCUGUAACGGCGGUGGAAACUGAGAGACUGGAGGAUGGUAGGGGUAGCGGGAAUUCCCAGUGUAGCGGUGAAAUGCGUAGAGAUCGGGAAGAACAUCGGUGGCGAAAGCGCUCUACUGGACCGCAACUGACACUCAGGGACGAAAGCUAGGGGAGCGAAUGGG